CACGUAGGGGGCAAGCGUUGUCCGGAUUUAUUGGGCGUAAAGAGCUCGUAGGUGGCUCGAUAAGUCGGGUGUUAAACCCCCAGGCUCAACCUGGGGCGCCACUCGAUACUGUCGUGGCUAGAGUCCGGUAGGGGAGCGUGGAAUUCCUGGUGUAGCGGUGAAAUGCGUAGAUAUGCGGAGGAACACCGAUGGCGAAGGCAAUCCCCUGGACCUGUACUGACGCUCAUGCACGAAAGCGUGGGGAGCAAACAGG
rnacentral:rRNA from 1 species